UACAUGGGGUGCAAACGUUGCUCGGAAUUAUUGGGCGUAAAGCGCGCGUAGGCGGUUACUUAAGUCGGAUGUGAAAGCCCUCGGCUUAACUGAGGAAGUGCACCCGAAACUGAGUAGCUAGAGUACUAAAGAGGGUCGCGGAAUUCCCGGUGUAGAGGUGAAAUUCGUAGAUAUCGGGAGGAACACCGGUGGCGAAGGCGGGUCUCUGGGCAUCUCCUGACGCUGAGGCGCGAAAGCGUGGGGAGCAAACGGG
rnacentral:rRNA from 1 species